rnacentral:lncRNA from 10 species
AUCGAGACCAUCCUGGCUAACACGGUGAAACCCCGUCUCUACUAAAAAUACAAAAAAUUAGCUGGGCAUGGUGGCGGGCGCCUGUAGUCCCAGCUACUCGGGAGGCUGAGGCAGGAGAAUGGCACAGAGCGUGCGACUCCGUCUCAAAAAGAAAAAAAAAGGUAUUAAAAGUCACUGGUAAAAGAUAUAUAAAAUAUUUUUAAUUAAAAGCUUUAGCUCAGAUAAUACUAAACCAGUGGUUCUUAAACCCAAGUGAUGCUGAGGCUACUGGUCUGGGGACCACUUAAUAAGUAUUGAAAUUCUGGC